rnacentral:tRNA from 2 species
UAAGGGAGACUGAAGACUGGAGUAGAGGAAUCGAAACAGUCCAAACAGGGGAAGAAGAAAAAAGAAUCAAACUAUGAAGGGAGAGGGGCGUUCAGGGGCUAUUAGCUCAGGUGGUUAGAGCGCACCCCUGAUAAGGGUGAGGUCCCUGGUUCGAGUCCAGGAUGGCCCAGAGGGAGAAAGACAACAGCACCUUGACUCUGUAACAGGAGUGAGAAUGCUGGGGAUAACUCCAGUAAUAAAGAACCUUGAAAACUGCAGAAAGAAAAAAGAAGAGUAAAUAACAAA